AACGUAGGAGACAACCGUUAUCCGGAGUUACUGGGCGUAAAGGGCGUGUAGGUGGUUUCGUAAGUCUGGCGUGAAAUAUCUCGGCUUAACCGAGGCAGGUCGUCGGAUACUGCGGAACUGGAGGACGGUAGAGGCGUGUGGAAUUCCGGGUGUAGUGGUGAAAUGCGUAGAGAUCCGGAGGAACACCAGUGGCGAAGGCGGCGACCUGGGUAGAUACUGACGCUGAGGCGCGAAAGCGUGGGGAGCAAACAGG
rnacentral:rRNA from 1 species